rnacentral:misc_RNA from 1 species
AAGUCGUAACAAGGUUUCCGUAGGUGAACCUGCGGAAGGAUCAUUAUUGAAAUAAACCUGAUGAGUUGUUGCUGGUUCUCUAGGGAACAUUGUGCACACUUGUUAUCUUUAUAUCUCCACCUGUGCACCUUUUGUAGACCUUGGAUAUCUCUCUGAGUGCUUGCACUUGGGUUUGAGGAUUGAUUUCAUUGUCUUUUCCUUACAUUUCCAGGCCUAUGUUUCUUCAUAUACCCCAAAUCUAUGUUAUAGAAUGUAAUAAAUGGGCCUUUGUGCCUAUAAACUAAAUACAACUUUCAGCAACGGAUCUCUUGGCUCUC